rnacentral:lncRNA from 1 species
GCAAGAUUUAUAAAAGUUCGUCUUUAUGUGAGAUUACGUCAUCUUCCACCUUAUAGUAAUUCACUAUCAUGAAAGAAAUUUACAAAAUCGAACACCCCAUCUUCUCUCUUUUUCAAUUUACGUUUUUUGCUCCGCACAAUGAAUAAUUAGGAUCCAUAACUUAAGGGAUCGAACAAGCAUACAGAUUUGAGAGAAUUGAGGUGCGCUACAAAAUGCAACAGACACAUUAUAAACAACAAUAAUGUUUCAAGCUGUCAAGUAAAUCACACAAACUCAAUAUUCUAAUCAAAAUCCUAAUUUGUGCACACUUUUUUAAAAGAAGAAUACGCGACGGCGAACUUAAACUCAAGAAGUCCUAUUCCUGCUAUCAUUAUUUCUCCGGAGAGAAGGAAAAGGUGCAAUUUAAUCAUUUAAAUAAUUAAUCUGAAAAGACUCCAAAGUAAAAGGGAAAACUACAAAACCCUAAGCAGAAUAAAGACUUUCACUACCUUAAUAUGUAAUUACAAUAAUA